CCGCCAUCAGAGCACAGCCUCAAUCUCUCGCGGGUAGAGCGAGUCCAGAAGUACAAAGAAACGGUGCGUUUCAACGACGCAAACGUUGAAGGAGAUGCUGUUAUAGUAUUAUUCCAGUCCUAAUUCCCAAAGCUAACUCCAGGGAUGGCAAAGGUCAUCGCUUCUGAUCGGCUCCGACUCAAUUAAUUUUUUUCAAUGCCUUUUUUCAAAAAUAUUAUGCGAGGCAUGAAAAAAAAAAAAUU
rnacentral:misc_RNA from 1 species